GAUGAACGCUGGCGGCGUGCCUAAUACAUGCAAGUCGAGCGAACAGACGAGGAGCUUGCUCCUCUGACGUUAGCGGCGGACGGGUGAGUAACACGUGGAUAACCUACCUCUAAGACUGGGAUAACUUCGGGAAACCGGAGCUAAUACCGGAUAAUAUAUUGAACCGCAUGGUUCAAUAGUGAAAGACGGUUUUGCUGUCACUUAUAGAUGGAUCCGCGCCGCAUUAGCUAGUUGGUAAGGUAACGGCUUACCAAGGCGACGAUGCGUAGCCGACCUGAGAGGGUGAUCGGCCACACUGGAACUGAGACACGGUCCAGACUCCUACGGGAGGCAGCAGUAGGGAAUCUUCCGCAAUGGGCGAAAGCCUGACGGAGCAAAGCCGCGUGAGUGAUGAAGGUCUUCGGAUCGUAAAACUCUGUUAUUAGGGAAGAACAAAUGUGUAAGUAACUAUGCACGUCUUGACGGUACCUAAUCAGAAAGCCACGGCUAACUACGUG
rnacentral:rRNA from 1 species